rnacentral:rRNA from 1 species
AUUGAACGCUGGCGGCAGGCUUAACACAUGCAAGUCGAGCGAGCGGCGGACGGGUGAGUAAUGUCUGGGAAACUGCCUGAUGGAGGGGGAUAACUACUGGAAACGGUAGCUAAUACCGCAUAACAUCAGAUGUGCCCUGAUGGGAUGAGCUAGUAGGUGGGGUAACGGCUCACCUAGGGGACGAUCCCUAGCUGGUCGUAGAGGAUGACCAGCCACACUGGAACUGAGACACGGUCCAGACUCCUACGGGAGGCAGCAGUGGGGAAUAUUGCACAAUGGGCGCAAGCCUGAUGCAGCCAUGCCGCGUUUAUGAAGAAGGCCUUCGGGUUGUAAAGUACUUUCAUCGGGGAGGCGUUACUCGCAGAAGAAGCACCGGCUAACUCCGUGCCAGCAGCCGCGGUAAUAC